rnacentral:rRNA from 1 species
CUGAGUACGGCGGAACACGUGAAAUUCCGUCGGAAUCCGGGAGGACCAUCUCCCAAGGCUAAAUACUCCCUAGUGACCGAUAGUGAACCAGUACCGUGAGGGAAAGGUGAAAAGCACCCCGGAAGGGGAGUGAAACAGUUCCUGAAACCGUGUGCCUACAAGUAGUUAGAGCCCGUUAAUGGGUGAUAGCGUGCCUUUUGUAGAAUGAACCGGCGAGUUACGAUUUGUUGCAAGGUUAAGCGGAAAAAGCGGAGCCGUAGCGAAAGCGAGUCUGAAUAGGGCGCAUAAGUAACAGGUCGUAGACCCGAAACCAGGUGAUCUACCCAUGUCCAGGAUGAAGGUAAGGUAAUACUUACUGGAGGUCCGAACCCACGCACGUUGAAAAGUGCGGGGAUGAGGUGUGGGUAGCGGAGAAAUUCCAAUCGAACUUGGAGAUAGCUGGUUCUCUCCGAAAUAGCUUUAGGGCUAGCCUCGAGGUAAAGAGUCAUGGAGGUAGAGCACUGUUUGGACUAGGGGCCCUUCUCGGGUUACCGAAUUCAGAUAAACUCCGAAUGCCAUGUACUUAUACUCGGGAGUCAGACUGCGAGUGAUAAGAUCCGUAGUCGAAAGGGAAACAGCCCAGACCACCAGUUAAGGUCCCCAAAUAUAUGUUAAGUGGAAAAGGAUGUGGGGUUGCUUAGACAACCAGGAUGUUGGCUUAGAAGCAGCCACCAUUGAAAGAGUGCGUAAUAGCUCACUGGUCGAGUGACCCCGCGCCGAAAAUGUACCGGGGCUAAACAUAUUACCGAAACUGUGGAUGAACCUCUUUAGAGGUUCGUGGUAGGAGAGCGUUCUAAGGGCGGUGAAGUCAGACCGGAAGGACUGGUGGAGCGCUUAGAAGUGAGAAUGCCGGUAUGAGUAGCGAAAGAAGGGUGAGAAUCCCUUCCACCGAAUAUCUAAGGUUUCCUGAGGAAGGCUCGUCCGCUCAGGGUUAGUCGGGACCUAAGCCGAGGCCGAUAGGCGUAGGCGAUGGACAACAGGUAGAGAUUCCUGUACCAGUGCUAAUUGUUUAACCGAUGGGGUGACACAGAAGGAUAGGGAAUCGCACGAAUGGAAAUGUGCGUCCAAGCAGUGAGUGUGAGAAGUAGGCAAAUCCGCUUCUCGCGAAGCAUGAGCUGUGAUGGGGAAGGAAAUUAAGUACGGAAGUUCCUGAUUUCACGCUGUCAAGAAAAGCCUCUAGGAAGAGUAGUACUGCCCGUACCGCAAACCGACACAGGUAGAUGAGGAGAGAAUCCUAAGGUGAGCGAGAGAACUCUCGUUAAGGAACUCGGCAAAAUGACCCCGUAACUUCGGGAGAAGGGGUGCUCUAUUAGGGUGCAAGCCCGAGAGAGCCGCAGUGAAUAGGCCCAGGCGACUGUUUAGCAAAAACACAGGUCUCUGCAAAACCGUAAGGUGACGUAUAGGGGCUGACGCCUGCCCGGUGCUGGAAGGUUAAGAGGAGUGCUUAGCUUCGGCGAAGGUACGAAUUGAAGCCCCAGUAAACGGCGGCCGUAACUAUAACGGUCCUAAGGUAGCGAAAUUCCUUGUCGGGUAAGUUCCGACCCGCACGAAAGGCGCAACGAUCUGGGCACUGUCUCAACGAGAGACUCGGUGAAAUUAUAGUACCUGUGAAGAUGCAGGUUACCCGCGACAGGACGGAAAGACCCCGUGGAGCUUUACUGCAACCUGAUAUGGAAUGUUUGUACCGCUUGUACAGGAUAGGUAGGAGCCGAAGAGACGUGUGCGCUAGCAUACGAGGAGGCAAUGGUGGGAUACUACCCUGGCUGUAUGACCAUUCUAACCCGCCACGCUUAGCGCGUGGGGAGACAGUGUCAGGUGGGCAGUUUGACUGGGGCGGUCGCCUCCUAAAGAGUAACGGAGGCGCCCAAAGGUUCCCUCAGAAUGGAUGGAAAUCAUUCGCAGAGUGUAAAGGCACAAGGGAGCUUGACUGCGAGACUGACAAGUCGAGCAGGGACGAAAGUCGGGCUUAGUGAUCCGGUGGUUCCGCAUGGAAGGGCCAUCGCUCAACGGAUAAAAGCUACCCCGGGGAUAACAGGCUUAUCUCCCCCAAGAGUCCACAUCGACGGGGAGGUUUGGCACCUCGAUGUCGGCUCGUCGCAUCCUGGGGCUGUAGUCGGUCCCAAGGGUUGGGCUGUUCGCCCAUUAAAGCGGCACGCGAGCUGGGUUCAGAACGUCGUGAGACAGUUCGGUCCCUAUCCGUCGCGGGCGCAGGAAAUUUGAGAGGAGCUGUCCUUAGUACGAGAGGACCGGGAUGGACACACCGCUGGUGUACCAGUUGUUCCGCCAGGAGCAUCGCUGGGUAGCUAUGUGUGGCAGGGAUAAACGCUGAAAGCAUCUAAGCGUGAAGCCCCCCUCAAGAUGAGAUUUCCCAUUUCUUCGGAAAGUAAGAUCCCUGAAAGAUGAU